UACAGAGGUCUCAAGCGUUGUUCGGAUUCAUUGGGCGUAAAGGGCGCGUAGGCGGCGGGGUAAGUCUGGUGUGAAAUCUCGGAGCUCAACUCCGAAAUUGCACUGGAUACUGCUCUGCUUGAGGGUUGGAGAGGAGAUCGGAAUUCACGGUGUAGCAGUGAAAUGCGUAGAUAUCGUGAGGAAGACCAGUGGCGAAGGCGGAUCUCUGGACAAAUCCUGACGCUGAGGCGCGAAAGCCAGGGGAGCAAACGGG
rnacentral:rRNA from 1 species